UGGGAGAAAAUGAAAAAGGCCAUCACUAUCAUUUCCAGGCGCUAUGACCAAUAUGAAGCCACUGGACUAAAUCGACAGUACCUAUUCACUAUGAGGACUUUGUUCAGGCUGUGAUGAGUGUGGCGCACCCAGACGAGAGUGAUUAUUUGAGAUAAAGAUAUAUGACCCAAAUCUCGUCAACUAACAAAUUUCAUGUGAAGGACACGUCUGUCUCCGAAUCCCCUAUAGAAGAAAAGGUGACACUAAUGCAGACUAUGCAGAAUGUACAGCAGUGCACAUGUCAUACUUCUCCCUACCCACUCAGCUGUCU